AUUAGAGUUAUAGAGUAAACACCAACAUGUCGAUAGGAUUUAUAUUUUAAAUAUUAUAUAUGUGGCAUGGAGUAUUCCUUUAGUUUUAAAUUGAACUCUGGCUGAGAAGAGGCUCUGGAGGUCUUUGCUGACCUUCUUCUCUGGUAGCAGGGUCUCUACCCAGGACAGUGAGCUCAGUACUGAGUGCAGAGCCAGGGGAGAGCUGACUCCUGGUAUCUGAACCUCCCUUGGCCAUGGCCUCUCUGCUUGCCUAAGUCCUGGGGAGUGGAGCAUCUUCCUCCACUGGAUUCCCAGCCAGGCAGCCUGAGGCAAGGGCCUCUGCUUCCCCAGGUCCUCACCACACUGCCCAGGAGAACCUCCUCUUUAGAGCCCAGGGCCAGAGCCUGCAGCUCUCAGGCACCCCAGCCUGAGCCCAGCCUUGUGUGAGCUCCUGCCCCAGCCUUUCCCAUCUAUGCCAUCAGCAAAGUCCUUCCUUCAUCAGAUGCUCUGUACACAUUCCCACAAUUGUCCACCUGCAGGUUGUGACUUGCUAAGGCGAAACUUGACCUGAAUGUACUUUUCCUAGCCCCACAGUAAAGAUUUCUUUGUAGUCUCUCUUCCCUAAGGAACUUAGCACAAGCACAGGGGUAUUAAAAAUAGGGUGAAGCUUUUAAACCUUCCCCUUUUUUUCCUUUAGUUUACUGAUCACCAGCUGUGUCC
rnacentral:lncRNA from 1 species